rnacentral:rRNA from 1 species
GACGAACGCUGGCGGCGUGCCUAAUACAUGCAAGUAGAACGCUGAAGGAGGAGCUUGCUUCUCUGGAUGAGUUGCGAACGGGUGAGUAACGCGUAGGUAACCUGCCUGGUAGCGGGGGAUAACUAUUGGAAACGAUAGCUAAUACCGCAUAAGAGUAGAUGUUGCAUGACAUUGGCUGAAAAGGUGCAAUUGCAUCACUACCAGUUGGAGCUGCGUUGUUUUAGCUAGUGGGUGAGGUAACGGGUCACUAAGGCAACGAUACAGAGUCGACCUGGUAGGGGGGUCGGCCACACUGGGACUGUGACACGGCCCAGACGGCUACGGGAAGGAGCCAUAGGGAAACGGGGGCAAUGGGCGGAAGUCUGAACGAACAACGCCGCGGGCGGGAAGAAGGGUGUCGGGUGGGGAAGGCCGGUUGUAGGGGUAGAAAGAGUGUGAGAGUGUAAAGUUCACACUGUGACGGUAUCUGACCAGAAAGCAACGGCUAACUACGUG